GAUGAACGCUGGCGGCGUGCUUAACACAUGCAAGUCGAACGGGAUCCCAGGGGUGCUUGCACUUUUUGGUGAGAGUGGCGAACGGGUGAGUCACACGGGAGUAACCUGUCCUUUUCUUUGGGAUAAGCAUUCGAAAGGGUGUUUAAUACCUUAUGUUCUUUCUGCCUCGCAUGGGGUGGGUGGGAAAGGCUUUGGCCGGAUUUGGGUGGGCUCGCGGUCUAUCAGCUUGUUGGGGGUGUGAUGGCUAACCCAGGCUUUGACGGGUAGCCGGCCUGAGAGGGUGGUCGGUCACAGUGGGACUGAAGUACGGCCCAGACGCCUGCGGGAGGCAGCCGUGGGGGAUAGUGCACAAUGGGCGAAAGCCUGAUGCAGCGACGGCGCGUGGGGGAGGAAGGCCUUCGGGUUGUAAACUUCUUUUGCUCUGAACAAGGCAUGCCAGUGGGUGUGUGGAGUGAAGGGGUGGAUUAGCGCCGGCUAACUACGUG
rnacentral:rRNA from 1 species